AACGAACGCUAGCGGCAGGCUUAAUACAUGCAAGUCGUGGGGCAGCAGGUUUGUAGCAAUACAGAUGCUGGCGACCGGCAAACGGGUGCGGAACACGUACAGAACCUUCCUUUGAGCGGGGAAUAGCCCAGAGAAAUUUGGAUUAAUACCCCAUAGUAUAAAUGAAGUGGCAUCACUUUAUUAUUAAAGAUUUAUCACUCGAAGAUGGCUGUGCGGCUGAUUAGGUAGUUGGCGGGGUAACGGCCUACCAAGGCAACGAUCAGUAGCCGGCCUGAGAGGGUGAUCGGCCACACUGGAACUGAGACACGGUCCAGACUCCUACGGGAGGCAGCAGUGGGGAAUUUUGCGCAAUGGGCGAAAGCCUGACGCAGCAACGCCGCGUGGGUGAUGAAGGUCUUCGGAUCGUAAAACCCUGUCGUCAGGGACGAAGGUCGGGGGUGAAUAGCCCUUUGGCUUGACGGUACCUGGAGAGGAAGCCCCGGCUAACUCUGUGCCAGCAG
rnacentral:rRNA from 1 species